AGAGUUUGAUCCUGGCUCAGGAUGAACGCUGGCGGCGUGCUUAACACAUGCAAGUCGAACGAGCCUUCGGGCUAGUGGCGGACGGGUGAGUAACGCGUGGGAAUCUGCCCUCAGGAGGGGGAUAACGGCCGGAAACGGCCGCUAAUACCCCAUAUGCCGAGAGGUGAAACGAAUUUCGCCUGAGGAUGAGCCCGCGUCUGAUUAGCUAGUUGGUGAGGUAUGGCUCACCAAGGCAUCGAUCAGUAGCUGGUCUGAGAGGAUGAUCAGCCACACUGGGACUGAGACACGGCCCAGACUCCUACGGGAGGCAGCAGUGGGGAACUUUCCGCAAUGGGCGCAAGCCUGACGGAGCAACGCCGCGUGAGGGACGAAGGCCUCUGGGCUGUAAACCUUUUUUCUCAAGGAAGAAGACAUGACGGUACUUGAGGAAUAAGCCACGGCUAAUUCCGUGCCAGCAGCCGCGGCAAUACGGGAGUGGCAAGCGUUAUCCGGAAUUAUUGGGCGUAAAGCGUCCGCAGGCGGCCUUGAAAGUCUGUUGUUAAAGCGUGGAGCUCAACUCCAUUUCAGCAAUGGAAACUACAAGGCUAGAGUGUGGUAGGGGCAGAGGGAAUUCCCGGUGUAGCGGUAAAAUGCGUAGAUAUCGGGAAGAACACCAGUGGCGAAGGCGCUCUGCUGGGCCAUAACUGACGCUCAUGGACGAAAGCCAGGGGAGCGAAAGGGAUUAGAUACCCCUGUAGUCCUGGCCGUAAACGAUGAACACUAGGUGUCGGGAGAAUUAACCCUUUCGGUGUCGUAGCCAACGCGUUAAGUGUUCCGCCUGGGGAGUACGCACGCAAGUGUGAAACUCAAAGGAAUUGACGGGGGCCCGCACAAGCGGUGGAGUAUGUGGUUUAAUUCGAUGCAACGCGAAGAACCUUACCAGGGUUUGACAUCCUGCGAAUCCUUUGGAAACUUAGGAGUGCCUUCGGGAGCGCAGUGACAGGUGGUGCAUGGCUGUCGUCAGCUCGUGUCGUGAGAUGUUGGGUUAAGUCCCGCAACGAGCGCAACCCACGUCUUUAGUUGCCAGCAUUUAGUUGGGCACUCUAGAGAGACCGCCGGUGAUAAACCGGAGGAAGGUGUGGAUGACGUCAAGUCAUCAUGCCCCUUACAUCCUGGGCUACACACGUACUACAAUGCUACGGACAAAGGGCAGCAAACUCGCGAGAGCUAGCAAAUCCCAUAAACCGUGGCUCAGUUCAGAUCGUAGGCUGCAACUCGCCUACGUGAAGGAGGAAUCGCUAGUAAUCGCAGGUCAGCAUACUGCGGUGAAUACGUUCCCGGGCCUUGUACCCACCGCCCGUCGCACCAUGGAAGUUGGCCAUGCCCGAAGUCGUUACUCCAACCCGCAAGGGAGGAGGACGCCGAAGGUGGGGCUGAUGACUGGGGUGAAGUCGUAACAAGGUA
rnacentral:rRNA from 1 species